CUCGGGUGGGGAGGGGGGGAGGGCGGGACCACGCUCUUCCGGGCUCGGGAUUGGCGGGGCCUCAGGGCUGGCGGCUGAAGCCGGGUGAGGAGUGACUGACCCGGGCUAGCCAGUGCUGGGUACUGCACAUGAUCUCAUUUGGAUGAUCCUGGCAACAGCUCUAUGAGGCAGCUGCAAUCAAUUGUCCCCAUUUUACAGACUAAGAAACAAGGGACAGAGUUCAGCUCAAGUUCUCAACUCCUGCAUCGUAUUACGUAAAGGAUGUGGUAGCCACUCAUUUUCAUCAACAAGACUAUCAGGAAUGUAUAAAAUCAAACAGAAGAAGACAUCACUGUUACUCGUGAACCUAAGUUAUAUUUGAAAGAUGGAAGGGUUAUUUGUACUGUUAUAUAUACUGAGUCUGAUUUCCUCAUCUCACCUGGAAGGACACAUGAACAGAGAACUUCCUGUACUCCCCUGGCAUAUUCUUCCCAUUAACUAAAUUCGCUCAAUGGGCAACCUUCUAAGCCAUUUGUACUGAGAUGAUCCAGUCUGCAAGAAGGUCUAAAACCCCUUGUGGCCCGAGAGCACUCCUUUCCCAUACCACUCCCCUCUCGGGCCCUCCCACUACGCCCUUGAAAAUCAUUCCAUGGAGCCUGUACAGGGAGUGAAUAACUGCUCCUCACUCCACCCUCCUACAGAGACCGCAUGAAUUCCUCCUGUGUGACUGAGACUCCUCUGAAUGUCUCUGACCCUGUGGGACUCAGCCUGAAAGUAAAACAUCCCUUCCCGUCUGAGACCUUGCUGGCUCUCAUUUCCAGGCUUCCCUUCACCCUGAGAGUGACAGCAGUAGAGUUAAUUUUGUAGUGGUAGUUUCUCUUGCUGGCUCAGAGGAGAAGCUCAAUAAAGAUGUAUUCAUUGGAGAAAAAAUGGUUUCAACCAAAGGAUUCCUAUCCUUAAUAAUGGUGUUCUAGGACUGAAUUAGGACUAAGUUUUCAGCCAUCUCCCAAAUCCUUUCUUCUGCAAACUUCAGCACCUGUCCUUCUGACCCACCAGGAGGGUGCCCUCUUUGCUACUUUUCUCUGCUUGGAGUUCUUUUGUUAUCUAAUCUUUUCUACAACCUGGAGGCUGGUUUUAUCUUCCCUGCUUUACAACUGAAGCAGCUCAAGAGAUAUGAAGCUAUCCUUCAAAGACUCAAAUGGAUUGGAUUCCAGAUUUGUCUGACCCCAAAGCCCAGUGCUCUUUCCACUGUUCUACACUAUCCCCAAGAAUAGAACUGUACUGUUACCUCAGGUGCACAAGAUGGAACCCCAAAAUUUUCACAAAUAGGUUCGAAGCAUGGGAGAAGUGGUGGAGUCAGUUUUGAAUAUGGCCAGUGAGCUUCAAAUACUCACAACAGCAUAUUGUUGAGAUUUUAGUUUCUUCUGGUUCUGUAUUAAAACAAUGAAGUCCACCAGGGGAGAGCAGAGCUGGUUAGCAGGGAGUUACACGGGGGUAGAUGACCAGGAAUUUAUGCCAACGCUGCAUUGCAACUUUAUUCCCUCACCUGUCAGUUUGGUAAUCGCUCCUUUCAAUGAAGGACCAGGAAGGAGAUGCUAUGAUGGCCACACGGAAGGUAAACUGCACACGGAGAUGCCAUGAACAUUCCAAAAAGCCUUAUGCAUGCUAAAGCCAUCCUAACUGUAUAUUCAAUUAAGGUACCACCCCCUACUUCAUGGAAGAGACUGAUAAUGUUAGGAGAGAUCCAUUUUGCUCUUGAACAUGCUUGGGGAUCUUUCUCAGGCCUCCUCCUCUUCUCUCACUCUCUUCAUAGCCAACUCUCUGGCAUACUUUUCCUUACUCUACUCAUGACAACAGAUCUCUCUCUAUAGGGUGGCCAACAUUCACAUGUAAAUGUAUGUCCACGCUGCUCUCUCUUUUAAAUAAAUCCUGCCCUCACUUGUGCACUGUAUUUUGCCUCUGCCUUGAAU